UACGUAGGACCGAGCGUUGUCCGGAAUCAUUGGGCGUAAAGAGCGAUGUAGGCGGCUAUUUAAGUUCCUGCGUGAAAUCCUGCGGCUACAACCGGCAGACGGUCGGUGGGAAACUGGAUGGCUAGAGUGACGGGAGAGGAGAGUGGGAAUUCCCGGUGUAGCGGUGAAAUGCGCAGAUAUCGGGAAGAACACCCGGUGGCGAAGGCGGCUCUCUGGGUACGUCGAC
rnacentral:rRNA from 1 species